rnacentral:rRNA from 1 species
UAAAAAAAGGUAAGCUACUAAGAGCGAAUGGUGGAUGCCUUGACUGGUAAAGGCGAUGAAGGACGUACUAGACUGCGAUAAGCUACGGGGAGCUGUCAAGAAGCUUUGAUCCGUAGAUUUCCGAAUGGGGCAACCCAAUGUAUAGAGAUAUACAUUACCUAUAUAGGAGCGAACGAGGGGAAUUGAAACAUCUUAGUACCCUCAGGAAAAGAAAUCAAUAGAGAUUGCGUCAGUAGCGGCGAGCGAAAGCGCAAGAGGGCAAACCCAGUGCUUGCACUGGGGGUUGUAGGACUGCAAUGUGCAAGAGGUAAGUUUAGCAGAACAUUCUGGAAAGUAUAACCAUAGAGGGUGAUAGUCCCGUAUGCGAAAAACAAACCUUAGCUAGCAGUAUCCUGAGUAGGGCGGGACACGAGGAAUCCUGUCUGAAUCCGGGUCGACCACGAUCCAACCCUAAAUACUAAUACCAGAUCGAUAGUGCACAAGUACCGUGAGGGAAAGGUGAAAAGAACUGAGGUGAUCAGAGUGAAAUAGAACCUGAAACCAUUUGCUUACAAUCAUUCAGAGCCCUAUGUAGCAAUACAGGGUGAUGGACUGCCUUUUGCAUAAUGAGCCUGCGAGUUGUGGUGUCUGGCAAGGUUAAGCAAACGCGAAGCCGUAGCGAAAGCGAGUCUGAAUAGGGCGCUUAGUCAGAUGCUGCAGACCCGAAACGAAGUGAUCUAUCCAUGAGCAAGUUGAAGCUAGUGUAAGAACUAGUGGAGGACUGAACCCAUAGGCGUUGAAAAGCCCCGGGAUGACUUGUGGAUAGGGGUGAAAGGCCAAUCAAACUUCGUGAUAGCUGGUUCUCUCCGAAAUAUAUUUAGGUAUAGCGUUGUGUCGUAAUAUAAGGGGGUAGAGCACUGAAUGGGCUAGGGCAUACACCAAUGUACCAAACCCUAUCAAACUCCGAAUACCUUAUAUGUAAUCACAGCAGUCAGGCGGCGAGUGAUAAAAUCCGUCGUCAAGAGGGAAACAACCCAGACUACCAGCUAAGGUCCCUAAGUCUUACUUAAGUGGAAAACGAUGUGAAGUUACUUAAACAACCAGGAGGUUGGCUUAGAAGCAGCCAUCCUUUAAAGAAAGCGUAAUAGCUCACUGGUCUAGUGAUUUUGCGCGGAAAAUAUAACGGGGCUAAAGUAAGUACCGAAGCUGUAGACUUAAGUGGUAGGAGAGCGUUCUAUUUGCGUCGAAGGUAUACCGGUAAGGAGUGCUGGAGCGAAUAGAAGUGAGCAUGCAGGCAUGAGUAGCGAUAAUUAAUGUGAGAAUCAUUAACGCCGUAAACCCAAGGUUUCCUACGCGAUGCUCGUCAUCGUAGGGUUAGUCGGGUCCUAAGUCGAGUCCGAAAGGGGUAGACGAUGGCAAAUUGGUUAAUAUUCCAAUACCAACAUUAGUGUGCGAUGGAAGGACGCUUAGGGCUAAGGGGGCUAGCGGAUGGAAGUGCUAGUCUAAGGUCGUAGGAGGUUAUACAGGCAAAUCCGUAUAACAAUACUCCGAGAACUGAAAGGCUUUUUGAAGUCUUCGGAUGGAUAGAAGAACCCCUGAUGCCGUCGAGCCAAGAAAAGUUUCUAAGUUUAGCUAAUGUUGCCCGUACCGUAAACCGACACAGGUGGGUGGGAUGAGUAUUCUAAGGCGCGUGGAAGAACUCUCUUUAAGGAACUCUGCAAAAUAGCACCGUAUCUUCGGUAUAAGGUGUGGUUAGCUUUGUAUUAGGAUUUACUCCGAAAGCAAGGAAACUUACAACAAAGAGUCCCUCCCGACUGUUUACCAAAAACACAGCACUCUGCUAACUCGUAAGAGGAUGUAUAGGGUGUGACGCCUGCCCGGUGCUCGAAGGUUAAUUGAUGGGGUUAGCAUUAGCGAAGCUCUUGAUCGAAGCCCGAGUAAACGGCGGCCGUAACUAUAACGGUCCUAAGGUAGCGAAAUUCCUUGUCGGUUAAAUACCGACCUGCAUGAAUGGCGUAACGAGAUGGGAGCUGUCUCAAAGAGGGAUCCAGUGAAAUUGUAGUGGAGGUGAAAAUUCCUCCUACCCGCGGCAAGACGGAAAGACCCCGUGGACCUUUACUACAGCUUGACACUGCUACUUGGAUAAGAAUGUGCAGGAUAGGUGGGAGGCUUUGAGUAUAUGACGCCAGUUGUAUAUGAGCCAUUGUUGAGAUACCACUCUUUCUUAUUUGGGUAGCUAACCAGCUUGAGUUAUCCUCAAGUGGGACAAUGUCUGGUGGGUAGUUUGACUGGGGCGGUCGCCUCCCAAAUAAUAACGGAGGCUUACAAAGGUUGGCUCAGAACGGUUGGAAAUCGUUCGUAGAGUAUAAAGGUAUAAGCCAGCUUAACUGCAAGACAUACAAGUCAAGCAGAGACGAAAGUCGGUCUUAGUGAUCCGGUGGUUCUGUGUGGAAGGGCCAUCGCUCAAAGGAUAAAAGGUACCCCGGGGAUAACAGGCUGAUCUCCCCCAAGAGCUCACAUCGACGGGGAGGUUUGGCACCUCGAUGUCGGCUCAUCGCAUCCUGGGGCUGGAGCAGGUCCCAAGGGUAUGGCUGUUCGCCAUUUAAAGCGGUACGCGAGCUGGGUUCAGAACGUCGUGAGACAGUUCGGUCCCUAUCUGCCGUGGGCGUAAGAAGAUUGAAGAGAUUUGACCCUAGUACGAGAGGACCGGGUUGAACAAACCACUGGUGUAGCUGUUGUUCUGCCAAGAGCAUCGCAGCGUAGCUAAGUUUGGAAAGGAUAAACGCUGAAAGCAUCUAAGCGUGAAGCCAACUCUAAGAUGAAUCUUCUCUAAGCUCUCUAGAAGACUACUAGUUUGAUAGGCUGGGUGUGUAAUGGAUGAAAGUCCUUUAGCUGACCAGUACUAAUAGAGCGUUUGGCUUAUCUUUAAUAAAGCAU